rnacentral:lncRNA from 1 species
GGGAGUAGUGGGCUAGUUUUGGAAAAGAAAAAAGGAAGAAAAGAUGAAUGGGAGGAAGGUAGAUUCGGCUGGAAAAGAAAAGAGAGAAAAAAGACUACACCAAAAGGAGAACACAGCACAACCUAGACCCUAAUGCCAAAAAUCCCUAACUAAAACCCCUCUGCCGAAAUCCCCUCUCUAAUCCCUUCAAUUCGGCUAAGCUCUAUCCUUCUAUCAAAUCCCUAAAAUCUUUCC